AAAAAGUUAAAUCAUGGAUUGAAAAAUACAAUCUAUGUUACAAUUGGGAGCACAUAGAUCCGUCAUUGGUAUACCAGGGGAAGUACAUCCCUACAAUAUAGUACUGUAACACAAUUGUAACUGAGCAACAAUGAGCCAUUGGAAGGUGUUCACCUAAAACAAUAUGUGGGUGUGGCAGCAAAAGUGUUCACCUAAAACAAUAUGGUGUCAUUAGAAAGCUCGUUAAUAAUGCAGCUGGAGAUAUAUCAUCGCUGAAACAAUGUGUUAAUCCCCAUGGUGAACCUUUGGUGCCAGAUCUUCUUCGUAUAAAUGUUGAAAAUAGACCGGCUCAAAGAUCGGAUGAGAUGGAGCCUAUGAUGGAAGCGUUCCCAUCCAUUAUAAAAAAUGAGUCGCUCUCUUCAAUAAACUUCACGGAUACUAUUUCUGAAACGGGAAAGCCAAAAAGCCAUAUAAACAUUUAUGUGUGCCCCAUGAGCAAGGUGGAGAAGAGCAUAGUUAGCUAAUCAAGAAGUGCGAAAUAAUACAUUCCUUGUAGACUUAAAAAUCAAUAAAUGUAAAUAUCUCACACCUAGAAGAUAACCACUUAGUUGGUUCAACAUAGGCAAAUUGCAGUGCAGUUGACCACAAAACACACGUUAGCAGGGAUUAAUUUGGUUGGAUUCAUAACCAAGGAAGACAUGCAGAUCUGCAACCUACCAAGGAUUGUGAAUGGAGAUGACUUCGUAUUAUACUGUUCCACACAUUCAAACAACAAUCUGGCCAGAGAAAAUUCUUAUAAUAAGCUUUCCCUGAAGGUGAGCAUUAUCUGAAGGUCACUCAAGGUGGCAUACAUGCAGGUAUCUCCUGUCGCCAAUUAUCAGUCUAUUACAUUUGCACCUACAAAAGGCAUAAAAAUCUGGAAUAAACAGUGGCAGUUAAAUCAAUAGUACUACAAAACAGCUACAUGGAAACAGCUAAUGCAGUCAAUUAUACCCACAAUCGAUGGACCAUCUGACCCCAAGCGCCAACAUCACGAAGUGCAGUUGACAAAUUUUACUCUGGCCCUAUUUUCCCUAUGCAAUCAGAUACAAGGGAAGGAAUACAUGUCAACAAAAAGUAGCGUUUAACAUGAUAAUAAUAAGACCUUUAGACGACGAUUUUUGUGUUACGAAGAGGAAUUUGAGAAAAGAUAGGAUGCCACUUUAUAGGAGGAAGGGGGGUUGUGUUGAUGAAAGGCAUAAUGGAUUUUGUUACAGAAAACAUUAACAAUGCACCAGUUGCCAAAUUUUGCCCUCACGGGUAAUGGUGAAGAAAAUACAAUACUUCCUUCUUGUUAUUGUAGAAUCUUCCUUUUGCAGUAUUGGCAGCAGAUUCUUGCAUACUCACUGGCAG
rnacentral:lncRNA from 1 species